AAGGAUGAACCUGGAGAGCAGGGGGACC
rnacentral:piRNA from 1 species